CAGGAUUAGAUACCCUGGUAGUCCACGCCGUAAACGAUGUCGACUUGGAGGUUGUGCCCUUGAGGAGUGGCUUCCGGAGCUAACGCGUUAAGUCGACCGCCUGGGGAGUACGGCCGCAAGGUUAAAACUCAAAUGAAUUGACGGGGGCCCGCACAAGCGGUGGAGCAUGUGGUUUAAUUCGAUGCAACGCGAAGAACCUUACCUACUCUUGACAUCCAGCGAAUUCGGUAGAGAUACCUUAGUGCCUUCGGGAACGCUGAGACAGGUGCUGCAUGGCUGUCGUCAGCUCGUGUUGUGAAAUGUUGGGUUAAGUCCCGCAACGAGCGCAACCCUUAUCCUUUGUUGCCAGCGGGUAAUGCCGGGAACUCAAAGGAGACUGCCAGUGAUAAACUGGAGGAAGGUGGGGAUGACGUCAAGUCAUCAUGGCCCUUACGAGUAGGGCUACACACGUGCUACAAUGGCGCAUACAAAGAGAAGCGACCUCGCGAGAGCAAGCGGACCUCAUAAAGUGCGUCGUAGUCCGGAUCGGAGUCUGCAACUCGACUCCGUGAAGUCGGAAUCGCUAGUAAUCGUAGAUCAGAAUGCUACGGUGAAUACGUUCCCGGGCCUUGUACACACCGCCCGUCACACCAUGGGAGUGGGUUGCAAAAGAAG
rnacentral:rRNA from 1 species